rnacentral:rRNA from 1 species
UACGUAGGGGGCGAGCGUUGUCCGGAAUCAUUGGGCGUAAAGCGCGUGUAGGCGGCCCGGUAAGUCCGCUGUGAAAGUCCAGGGCUCAACCCUGGGAUGCCGGUGGAUACUGUCGGGCUCGAGUCCGGAAGAGGCGAGUGGAAUUCCUGGUGUAGCGGUGAAAUGCGCAGAUAUCGGGAGGAACACCUAUGGCGAAGGCAGCUCGCUGGGACGUUACUGACGCUGAGACGCGAAAGCGUUGGGGAGCAAACAGG